rnacentral:rRNA from 1 species
UACGUAGGGGGCAAGCGUUGUCCGGAUUUAUUGGGCGUAAAGAGCGUGUAGGCGGCCUGAAAGGUCAGCUGUGAAAAACUCGAGGCUCAACCUCGAGACGUCGGUUGAAACCAUCUGGCUAGAGUCCGGAAGAGGAGUGUGGAAUUCCCGGUGUAGCGGUGAAAUGCGCAGAUAUCGGGAAAGAACACCCGUGGCGAAGGCGGCACUCUGGGACGGUACUGAACGCU